CCAGCACCCCGAGUGGUCGGACGAUUAUUGGGCCUAAAGCAUCCGUAGCCGGUUUACAAGUCCUCCGUUAAAUCCAACUGCUUAACAGAUGGGCCGCGGAGGAUACUAUAAGACUAGGAGGCAGGAGAGGCAAGCGGUACUCAGUGGUAGGGGUAAAAUCCGUUGAUCCAUUGAAGACCACCAGUGGCGAAGGCGGCUUGCCAGAAUGCGCUCGACGGUGAGGGAUGAAAGCUGGGGGAGCAAACCGGAUUAGAUACCCGGGUAGUCCCAGCUGUAAACGAUGCAGACUCGGUGAUGGACUAGCUUUAUGCUAGUCCAGUGCCGCAGGGAAGCCGUUAAGUCUGCCGCCUGGGUAGUACGGUCGCAAGACUG
rnacentral:rRNA from 1 species